rnacentral:rRNA from 1 species
UGCCAGCAGCCGCGGUAAUACGGAGGGGGUUAGCGUUGUUCGGAAUUACUGGGCGUAAAGCGUACGUAGGCGGAUUAAUCAGUCAGAGGUGAAAUCCCAGGGCUCAACCCUGGAACUGCCUUUGAUACUGUUAGUCUUGAGGUCGAGAGAGGUGAGUGGAAUUCCGAGUGUAGAGGUGAAAUUCGUAGAUAUUCGGAGGAACGCCAGUGGCGAAGGCGGCUCACUGGCUCGAUACUGACGCUGAGGUACGAAAGUGUGGGGAGCAAAUGGGAUUAGAUA